rnacentral:tRNA from 1 species
UGCAUCGGCCGGGAAUUGAACCCAGGCCGCCCGCGUGGCAGGCGAGCAUUCUACCACUGAACCACCGAUGC